GCCCAGACUCCUACGGGAGGCAGCAGUGGGGGAUAUUGCACAAUGGGGGAAACCCUGAUGCAGCGACGCCGCGUGAGUGAAGACGGCCCUCGGGUUGUAAAGCUCUGUCAAUCGGGACGAAGAAGAUGACGGUACCGAUGAAGGAAGCUCCGGCUAACUACGUGCCAGCAGCCGCGGUAAUACGUAGGGGGCAAGCGUUAUCCGGAUUCACUGGGUGUAAAGGGAGCGUAGACGGCGACGCAAGUCUGGAGUGAAAGCCCGGGGCCCAACCCCGGGACUGCUCUGGAAACUGCGUCGCUGGAGUACGGGAGGGGCAGGCGGAAUUCCUGGUGUAGCGGUGAAAUGCGCAGAUAUCAGGAAGAACACCGGUGGCGCAGGCGGCUUGCUGGACGGCAACUGACGCUGAGGCUCGAAAGCGUGGGGAGCAAACAGGAUUAGAUACCCCCGUAA
rnacentral:rRNA from 1 species